rnacentral:lncRNA from 1 species
AGAAGUCCUGCUCUGAAAAUAUGUGCAGAAUGACCGUUUCUGCCCGCCUCCCCCAAGGUAAUGUUUCAUACACAUUUAGGGAAGAGGCUUGGAGGCUAUGCCCAUAUCCUGUUUCUCAGAUUUUUGCCCGGUUGCUGGAAACGGUUAUUAGGGGUUGUUUGCUUAAUGGUGAUGUUCUCUUUCCCUCAUUCCUUUAUUCUUAAUAGGACUUUUUUUUUCUUUUUUUUUUUUCUUUUUAAGGCUGCACCUGGGGCAUAUGCAGGUUCCCAGGCUAGGGGUUGAAUCGGAGCUGCCGCUGCCAGCCUACGUCACAGCCACAGCAACACGGGAUCUGAGCCAUGUCUGUGACCUACACCACAGCUCACGGCAGUGCCAGAUCCUUUACCCACUGAGCGAGGCCAGGGAUCGAACCCGCAACCUCAUGGUUCCUAGUCAGAUUCAGAUGUCUUUCCGCCGAGCCACGAACGGGAGCUCCCAAUAAGACUUAUUGGGAAAGUCUUAUGUAGGAAAACAUUGGUUUAUUGUCUGACCAUUUACUUGAAUGUUUUUAUCAGUAUGGCCUCAGACAUUGCGGUCUUUGGAAGAUUAGCCGGCACCGUCACUUCAUUUAAUGGCACCUUCACUCUGUUGAUGAUGAAAGCCGAUGCUCUUCCUCAGGUCAUUCCAGCUCCGGCCGUGGGGCCCCGCUCAGACGCGCGCCUGUCUCCUGGUGAAAUCCUGGAGGCUGUCCUUUCCACCGUCCUGUCUGCACGAGGAGGACACAGGGGUCAGCUUCCUGGGAGAAGGGAGUCGUCCGGAUGGCUGGUCCCCGGAGGGGUGACUUACUGCAUGAACAUCGAAAUCAGAUGAACCCUGACGGCGACAGCGAUGGUAAUAGCGCCACUGGCGGGGUGUAUGGGGGGGUAGCGGGCAAAGCCCGUGGGGCAAAUGUCUUUCUUAAACCCUCCUCAUAAAUCUAAGAUCUCACUGUCACCCACGAGGGGACGGAGCCCGGGGCCUCGGGACCUGAGCUGGUUCUCUGGGUGAGAGGAGGAGGAGGCUUCCUGGGGGGCCGUGUGCCUUUGGCCCGCGUCCUUCACGGUGGCUCUGUCCUCUGGGGGCAGCUGAUCGAACGGGCCUUUCUGUGUGGACAUCACUUGUUCCCAGUGGAGCCCUGGGGGCUAAAAAUAACCAUGUGUUUUCUGUUUUAUCCAAAAAAGAGGAACUGUGCAGUGUGUUUCAUAACAUCUACUAUUUUUGAAAACCUGAAUUUUUUCCACUUUUUUUUAAAUGCCUUUGGGGCUGUCCUUGGAGGGAGAGGCUUUGGUGGAGGUUUCACCAGGGGUCCCUCUGUUUGGUCGUCCAGAUCCUCAGGAAAUGGCUGCAGGAGAAGGGAACUGUCCCCCCGCACACAUGGCCAAGGGGUGGACUUAACACAGGGGUCAUGGGAGGGGAGCCAGAUCUCAGGGGCACCUGAGACCUCAUAGCACAGGCUGGAGGGGAGAAGGGACCGGCCCAGGGGCUGGGCAGGCCUGUUCCGUGUACAGGGGGAGGCGUGCUGACCCCGGCCACAUGCUGCCUCCACGACAGCCAGGCCUCGUGGUCCAGGCUCAGCGUCCAUCUUUCCCCUGACCCCGCUCUCCCAGGUUGGGGCAAGGCCUGAUGCUCCUAAGAUGAGCCACGAGCCAUGAGCCCCCGGGUCCCGGUUGUUCUUGGGUUCCUCUGUUGUUGGCAACCAGGCUAAGAUGGUCAUCCUGGGGUCUGCUGAUGCUAGGGUGGCUCCCUGCCCUUCUCACUGAGACUCUGGAGCGUUAGGAAAUCAUGGAAAGAGCAAACACAGUGAAAGACACGUCGCCCGCAGCCCAGGAAGCUGGAAUGUGGGUGUGGCAUCCCUGAGACCACGCGGGUGUUUCUGGGUGAGCCAAGGGCAGAGGGACCAGGCGGGUGUGGGAGUGGCUGGACGCCAAGAGGACCUGCCCACUGCUGCAACCCAAGGGCAGAGUGGGCCCUUCACACGUGACGUGGCUGCCAGCAUCUGCAGAGGUGAGCAGAGGCAUGGGGCGGAGCAGGAGGUGUUAGAAUGUGUGGCAAGAGCACGAUUCCUCUAGAGUCGGCAGUAAUUUGGAGACUGGAACAGGGACAGACUGACACCUGAUCUCAGUAGACAAGCCAGGAGCAGACCCUUACGGGAAGGCCGAGGCUGUGGCACCAAGCUUAUAGAAACCGUGAGGGAGGGCAGCUGUGCCUGGAGAGCAGAUUAAUUCUGGGCUGCAGGACUCUGGAUAAGUUAAAGAAAAAGUGCAUCUGCAUCUUUCUAAACCAACUGUGGGGAGUUCCCAUUGUGGCACAGUCAAGACAAAUCCGACUAGGAACCAUGAGGUUGCGGGUUCGAUCCUUGGCCUCGCUCUGUGGGUUAAGGAUCUGACAUUGCCGUGAGCUGUGGUGUAGGUUGCAGACACGGCUCGGAUCCUGCGUGGCUGUGGCUGUGGCGAAGGCUGGCGGCUACAGCUUGGAUUGGACCGCUAGCCUGUGAACCUCCAUGUGCCGUGGGUGCUGGCC